GCCCUGUGCUGUACAAUGGAACUGUCUCACAUCAGUAUUCAUUUAAAAAUAGUAUUUAUGAAAAUUUUUCAGAGGCAGUUGAUUUGGGUUAAAAGAGAAAAGGAGAAAGGAAGAAACAAAGAAAAGCCAGUUUUCAAAUUGUCUUCAAUUCUGGUAUCUACAUGUCAAGACAUAAACAGAUGCUGGAUAAGGUCCAAAGAAACUAAAGUGAUCACAAAAUCAUUGAUUGCUGUAUGAGAAUCCAAACAACAGGAUUUCAUUCCCUGUGCUGAGCCUCCUUUCAGUUUCCUCUUCCUACCUAUGUCUCAGCUGAAAACUUAAGACCACUCACCCUACAGCCAAUGGUUCCACCUUCUGCAGCUGUCGUCUAAAUUCCAAAUGCAGCCAUGUCAAGGCACCUGCACAUGGCAGCUGUAAAAGAAACACUGGCACUUUACUGCUGAGAGGAAAGGUAGUGCCAUUUUUUGAGCAUCGGUUCCCUCCCAGAGAGGAUGACAGCUGGCAACUCUGUCCUACAGAAAAUAGGAAAGCAAGAGAAACAUAUACAGAAAUGCCUACAUAUGAUGUCACUCGGUAGCCACAGCCCUAAAAGUAUCCCAGAAAGAGGGCAAAUUAGCUGUAAAGCUAAAG
rnacentral:lncRNA from 1 species